AGGAGUUACAGAGACGGA
rnacentral:piRNA from 1 species